UACGUAGGGAGCAAGCGUUGUCCGGAAUCAUUGGGCGUAAAGCGCGCGUAGGCGGCCCUGUAAGUCCGUUGUGAAAGUCAAAGGCUCAACCUUUGAAAGCCGAUGGAUACUGCAGGGCUGGAGUCCGGAAGAGGCGAGUGGAAUCCUGGUGUAGCGGUGGAAUGCGCAGAUAUCAGGAGGAACACCAAUAGCGAAGGCAGCUCGCUGGGACGGUACUGACGCUAAGGCGCGAAAGCGUGGGGAGCGAACAGG
rnacentral:rRNA from 1 species